GACGAACGCUGGCGGCGUGCUUAACACAUGCAAGUCGAACGGAAAGGCCCUGCUUUUGUGGGGUGCUCGAGUGGCGAACGGGUGAGUAACACGUGAGUAACCUGCCCUUGACUUUGGGAUAACUUCAGGAAACUGGGGCUAAUACCGGAUAGGAGCUCCUGCUGCAUGGUGGGGGUUGGAAAGUUUCGGCGGUUGGGGAUGGACUCGCGGCUUAUCAGCUUGUUGGUGGGGUAGUGGCUUACCAAGGCUUUGACGGGUAGCCGGCCUGAGAGGGUGACCGGCCACAUGGGGACUGAGAUAGGGCCCAGACUCCUACGGGGGGGAGCAGGGGGGAAUUUUGCACAAGGGGCGGAAGCCUGAUGCAGCAACCCCGCGGGCGGGAUGCCGGCUUUCGGUUUGAAAACCGCUUUCGCCGGGGAGGAAGGGGGGGGGAGGAUAAUGGAUAAAGAAGCACGGGCAAAUUCCGUC
rnacentral:rRNA from 1 species